rnacentral:rRNA from 1 species
UACGGAGGAUCCGAGCGUUAUCCGGAUUUAUUGGGUUUAAAGGGAGCGCAGGCGGGGGCGUAAGUCAGCGGUGAAAUCUACGGGCUCAACUCGUAAACUGCCGUUGAUACUGCAUCCCUUGAGUACGUGUGGGGCUGGCGGAAUGCGACAAGUAGCGGUGAAAUGCAUAGAUAUGUCGCAGAACACCGAUCGCGAAGGCAGCUGGCCAACACGUAACUGACGCUGAGGCUCGAAAGCAUGGGGAUCAAACAGG